rnacentral:misc_RNA from 1 species
AAAAAAAAAAUGAAUCAACAUUAUGGCUUCUUACAUUUAAUAGGAAAAAUUGAUACCAAAAGAAUAUGUUAUCUUGAGAAAUACACCUAGGCCAAGAUCUAAACUUUUAACUAGCUUGAUACAAAUAUGUGAAAAAGUUCUUGUGUAAAUAAAGCUAAACUCAAGCCAAAACAUAGGCUUUUAUGCUAGAGGGCAUGUUCCCAAGUAACAACAGGUUCCAAGUAUGGACUCAAAAACAAGACAUGAGAUGUACCUUAAGAUAUGAAAGGCCAAACUAUAUGAGGCCGAUAGCAAAGAAUUAAAGACAUAAUAAAAAUAAAAUUUUGUAAAGCCAGCUGCCAUCCUUUCCUGUCCACCACUGACCCUUGACUCAGAUAUUGACCUUCCCCACACGUGUACAGCAAUUUGAAGAGGAGGUGAUUCAGGUGAAACACCCAUAGUUUUGUUAAAAA